rnacentral:tRNA from 1 species
GCGGUCGUAGCUCAGUUGGUAGAGCACUUGAUUGUGGUUCAAGAAGUCGCCGGUUCAAGUCCGGUCGGUCGCC